rnacentral:rRNA from 1 species
AGCGGGCCGUUCGCCGUGUCCAACCUUCACAAACCCACUGUGCACCUUUCACGGCGGAGGGCUGCUGGCGAGAGCCGGCGUCCGAAGUCGCAUAUAACAAACCCCUAAAGUUCAAAAGAAUGAAACGCGACCUCGUCGUCGCCUAAACACAAAACAACUUUCAACAACGGAUCUCUUGGCUCUCGCAUCGAUGAAGAACGCAGCGAAAUGCGAUAAGUAAUGUGAAUUGCAGAAUUCAGUGAAUCAUCGAAUCUUUGAACGCACCUUGCGCUCCUUGGUAUUCCGAGGAGCAUGCCUGUUUGAGUGUCUUGAAGUCAUCAACCCCACCCGUUUCGUGCGGCGUGAGGGUUGGACGUGGGGGCCUGCUGCCGCGAGGCUGCUCCCCUCAAAUGCAUCGGUUGGGCCUGUGGGUCGAACUCGACUGGGCGUUGUACCAUCCUCGCUCUCACCGAGAAGUUCCCCUUCCGUGCCCUCCCACGACCUGCCUCUGGAGCGGCGGUCAAGCAAAACUUUGAAAUCUGACCUCAAAUCAGGUAGGACUACCCGCUGAACUUAAGCAUAUCAAUAAGCGGAGGAAAAGAAACUAACAAGGAUUCCCCUAGUAACUGCGAGUGAAGCGGGAAAAGCUCAAAUUUGAAAUCUGGCGGUUAUGCCGUCCGAG